rnacentral:lncRNA from 1 species
GGAGGGGGCAUGAGUCCUAGCAUGAUUAUAUGAGCUGAGCCCAUGAGGUAAAAAAGUGUGGCGAAUGUGGAUAGGUCACCUACUGUUCCAAACGAUAAAAUUGGUUUUUUUUGUCCUUAUUUCAUCUAUAAAAUUCUCAUGCUCUUCACUAUUUCAUCAAAACUUCACUCACUUUCUUUCUUCUUUUCAAAUCUUUCUUUCUUUUAAAUUAUUUCUUCUUUUUGAAACGAUGGGAAAAAUCGAAGAAGGGUUGAUUUAGAGUUGAUGUUGAUGCUUUAUUUGACAAAGAUAACAAUGCGUUUGUCGUAACCAUAUUCAGGUGGUCGUGGCAAAAGGACGAGUCCGACGUCAACGACGAUGAUGGGGGAGGUAAUGAUUACUGUUCAUGGUAUUAUUACGAGCAUGGAGCAUGGAUCGCCUCCCGUGGAGAUCUACAUCGACUCCAUUCUUGGUGCGCAACUUAUGGCAAACUCCGAAGAGGAAGCUCAGUUCUUGCCAGAUGAUAUUCUUUAUAUUUUGAGUAUUACUAUGCAAAAUUUUCUUGUAAAGAUUGCCGAUGUUUAUUGAACUGCUGACCAAGCGACUCAUAGAUUAGCUCAGUUUUCUAAAUCUUGUUCUCAGCCGAUUUGUUUGACCAUGGCUUUCCUUAUUGGCUGAGGGAUUUUGUUUCAGAUGACAUUUCUUGAAUAAAUGUAUGGCUUUCCUCUCAAAUUCUUUUUCCUCUCAAAUGGAUCCCAA